rnacentral:lncRNA from 1 species
UUAAGUUCUGGUGACGUGGUGUCACAACAAGACCAUUAGUACAAAUCUGAGUCAUCGUACAAAAACUAAACAUUAAAUUAAAUUAAGAGACUUGAUGACUAAUUAUACAUAAUUAAAAAGAUUAGAUCACAUAGCAUAAAAAUAUCUUUUAGUUUUAUCAUGAUGAUAUAUUUAAAUAAAUAUGAAAAAAUUUAUAAUUAUUAUAUUAUACUUU